rnacentral:pre_miRNA from 1 species
GGCUGCCCUGGCUCAGUUAUCACAGUGCUGAUGCUGUCCGCUCUAAAGGUACAGUACUGUGAUAACUGAAGGAUGGCAGCCA